CCUACGGGAGGCUGCAGUCGAGAAUCAUUCACAAUGGGGGCAACCCUGAUGGUGCGACGCCGCGUGGGUGAAUGAAGCUCUUCGGAUUGUAAACCCCUGUCAUGUGGGAGCAAAUUAAAAAGAUAGUACCACAAGAGGAAGAGGCGGCUAACUCUGUGACAGCAGCCGCGGUAAUACCGAGGGCGCAAGCGUUGUUCGGAAUCACUGGGCGUAAAGCGUGCGUAGGCUGUUUCUUAAGUCGUGUGUGAAAGGCGCGGGCUCAACCCGCGGACGGCACAUGAUACUGCGAGGCUAGAGUAAUGGAGGGGGAACCGGAAUUCGCGGUGUAGCAGUGAAAUGCGUAGAUAUCGAGAGGAACACUCGUGGCGAAGGCGGGUUCCUGGACAUUAACUGACGCUGAGGCACGAAGGCCAGGGGAGCGAAAGGGAUUAGAUACCCUUGUAGUC
rnacentral:rRNA from 1 species